GAUGAACGCUAGCUACAGGCUUAACACAUGCAAGUCGAGGGGCAUCAGGAAGGAAGCUUGCUUUCUUCGCUGGCGACCGGCGCACGGGUGAGUAACACGUAUCCAACCUGCCUCAUACUCGGGGAUAGCCUUUCGAAAGAAAGAUUAAUACCCGAUGUUAUAGUCCUACCGCAUGAUGGGAUUAUUAAAGAAUUUCGGUAUGGGAUGGGGAUGCGUUCCAUUAGUUAGUUGGCGGGGUAACGGCCCACCAAGACAACGAUGGAUAGGGGUUCUGAGAGGAAGGUCCCCCACAUUGGAACUGAGACACGGUCCAA
rnacentral:rRNA from 1 species